GAGAGGGGAGCUGCAAACCGCGCGAGCCGCAGAAAACCUCCCCCGGCCGUCCCGCGCGGUUGUGACCGGUCGAGUCGCUACCCCGGGCGCCAAACAUCGUUUGUUUUUCUCUCUCGGAGGGGAAGGGGUGGGCGGGGGCCUCCGUGGCCGCUACCCGACGGCGAUGGCUUCUUCGGAGGUGGCCACAAACUCGCGCGCGUUGGUGGCGGUGCGGGUAAGAGGACGCGCGCGGUCAGGUGUCGCCCGAACCGUGCGUCAAACUUUUGGAGAGGAAGGUCAUCUCGCCCGAGCGCUGCUGAACGCCCGCGGAUGCAAAUUAUUGCCGGAUGGAAUUGAACCGGCGAUCCAGCACUCACCGAUUCACCCGAGUAAAUUGUUCGACGGCAAGCGGAAACUUGAACCGUUGGACAUCGCGCCGAGUGACACUCGGUUUGAAAUCCUGAAGGGAGGGAGGGAGGAGGUAAAAACCGCAUCGGAGAACCACAGCGGCCGCAGCCGUGAAAACCAACACGGGCCCAAUCUCAGCACUGGAGGAGCAUCUCAGCUGUGAGCUCAGGGACAAGGAAGAAUAAUACAGCACGUGCAUGGAGUCCAUUCCUAAACCUUUGAACAGACGAUUUAUUACUCGUGUAUUUGUGGCCCACGCGGUCAUGGAGUCACGGACCCCCGAGGAGUGAGGAGCGGAUAAUAAAACGGAACCAGCGUGCGCAUGGAAACCGCGAACGAGAACGGCCAAAGCUGCAGCCGAGAUUAUGGGUACCGGUGGAUCCAUCAACCGCAUCAGAACAUCGACAAGGCCGACGCGCACAGCUCCUUCAUGAACGGAAAAAGAAAAGACACAAGCCACGCUGUGGCCGUGGCUAUGCGACCCAAUUUAUGGACCAUCUUGUAAACACACAGAGAGACUAAUCGAGAUAGACCGUGACUUUUGAUGAUGGUGAUGAUGAAUGAUGUUUGUAUACGCAUUACUUUGAUGGAAUACAAAUUCAGUUUCAAUUUAAAGAGAUAGUAAAAUUGUAUGUAGUUAUUUGAACAAAAAAAUUCACCCAAACUCUUUUUAACUAAGGUUUAAACGAAUGUUGCUUGCAUGGUGUCCUUUAUUUUACGUGUAAAAAUGUGAAAAAAGCUGGUUUGGAGUUAAGCCGUUUGAUUGAUCACGCUUUGCAAGUGUUCAUUUAAAUAAAACAGUUACACGGAAA